rnacentral:rRNA from 1 species
GACGAACGCUGGCGGCGUGCUUAACACAUGCAAGUCGUACGGUAAGGCCCUUUCGGGGGUCCACGAGUGGCGAACGGGUGCGUAACACGUGAGUAACCUGCCCACAACUUUGGGAUAACGCUAGGAAACUGGUGCUAAUACUGGAUAUGUGCUCCUGCUGCAUGGUGGGGGUUGGAAAGCUCCGGCGGUUGUGGAUGGACUCGCGGCCUAUCAGCUUGUUGGUGGGGUAGUGGCCUACCAAGGCGGCGACGGGUAGCCGGCCUGAGAGGGUGACCGGCCACAUUGGGACUGAGAUACGGCCCAGACUCCUACGGGAGGCAGCAGUGGGGAAGAUUGCACAAUGGGCGCAAGCCUGAUGUAGCAACGCCGCGUGCGGGAUGACGGCCUUCGGGUUGUAAACCGCUUUCAGCAGGGACGAAGCUUUUUGUGACGGUACCUGCAGAAGAAGCACCGGCUAACUACGUG